CUUCUGCUAGACCCUCUUGGGAUGUUCUUGCUUGGAGCCAAGCAGCCACCUGGAGACCCCAUACAGCCUUUCCAGCUGACAGCCCCAGCUGAGGUGCCAGCAGAUGGCCCAUCCACAGUGAGUGGGUGAGCCUGGAGAGAACUCCUGCCCUCAUUGCCCUCUGACCACAGCUGAGGGAGAGCCCGGCAGAGCCUACUCUACCCCAGGACCACGAGGAAUGAAGCCUUCUCUGAACCAGUCCCAAGAAGUCUCAACUUUAAAGCAUUAACUCCCCAAAUGAACUAGCUUUCAUUUCAUCUUCUCAUAUGUCAUUGCAUUCUCAACAAACCAGAUCUAUAGGAUGGAUCAGUCAAAGCUUACAAAGAAAUCUAAUUAGGUAUGGAAUAUGAACUUUUUAUUUGAUAAAUAACUUAGCUGGAGAUACAUUGAGAGUUACUCUACUAGAAUAAAAGAAAG
rnacentral:lncRNA from 1 species